UUAUUUUUUACUUAAAUCUAUUUUUGUUCUUUUGGAGUUCUUGUGACAUAUACGCUAGUCAGAGAUCGGACUGUACUUUUCACAAAUGGUGCAAACAAUUAAUGAUUCCCAUAGACUAUUGUGUUGAUUAGGCUUUCUGAACACCCACAACUUUGAUUCAGCAUGCUGGAAAGGGGCAGGAGUUUAUACAGUUGUUUAUAUUCUACUAUAUUUGACUAAUUUACUACUGACUAAUAUCUAUUAAUAUAUACCUAUAUUUGCUGACUCUAAAGUGUGAAAAAACUCCACACUUUUAAAGCAGAGAAUAUAGUUCUGGAUAAAUAUUAAAUCAUAUCACAUCAAGGAAAAGGCUACAGUCAGACUGCAUACUGGAGCAGUUUGGUAUUCUUCUAAUUCCACCAGAAGACCAGACUGAGCAAUUCACUAGAUACACAUCGUAAGGGAUAUUAAGUCUGGUGAAUGAGAGCACAGGAAAUGAAAUAGCAUGCUCUGGGAAGCUUGUUGAAGAUGCACAUGGACAAGAAUAGCUACCUCAUUCAUGCAGACCAAUGUGCUGUUCUGGGCUGCUGCUUGUCUCCUUGACUUCUUCAAUGUGCGAGACACCUAACAGACUGGCUGGAA